rnacentral:rRNA from 1 species
GAUGAACGCUAGCGAUAGGCUUAACACAUGCAAGUCGAGGGGCAGCAUGGUCUUAGCUUGCUAAGACUGAUGGCGACCGGCGCACGGGUGCGUAACGCGUAUGCAACUUGCCUCACAGAGGGGGAUAACCCGUCGAAAGACGGACUAAUACCGCGUACACUUGGGAUAGGGCAUCCUGACCCAAGGAAAUGAAAUUCGCUGUGAGAUAGGCAUGCGUCCCAUUAGCUAGUUGGUGAGGUAACGGCUCACCAAGGCGACGAUGGGUAGGGGAACUGAGAGGGUGAACCCCCACACUGGUACUGAGACACGGACCAGACACCUACGGGAGGCAGCAGUGAGGAAUAUUGGUCAAUGGGCGAGAGCCUGAACCAGCGAAGUCGCGUGAAGGAUGACUGUCUUAUGGAUUGUAAACUUCUUUUAUACGGGAAUAACAAGAGUCACGUGUGGCUCCCUGCAUGUACCGUAUGAAUAAGCAUCGGCUAACUCCGUG